AGUAUUGGCAUCACUACAGAUUGUUCAUCUUACUUGUGUCAUUCAAGCGACUAAGGUUGCUCGAAGUGCAGCGUGUCAAUUGAUUAAAUCGAAUACUUAAGGCUCCAACAACUUAGGACUUUUUUCAAAAAAAAUAAAUAUUGAAACAUCAAAACAAUGGUUAAAUUCACUUUGUUGCUACAUAUUUUGAUGACAUUAGCAUUGACGAUAGCUGUAUUCGCAACAGCAGCAUCCGCCGAUUGUGAACCAAAGUGCGAUCCAGGUUUUCAUUGUGAGUCCAACGUUUGGAAAGCAGGCACAUGGGUAUGCAUACCGGAUGGCGCUGUCCAAUGAGCUAUGUGACUGAGAGCCAUUAUCUCUUGAGUCUCCAUGAAAUGUCCAAAUUCAUUUUAGCAAAAGUAAAAUGUUCUAUUUAAUAAACUAAUAAACGGACGUUGAGAAAUUAA